rnacentral:rRNA from 1 species
AGUGAACGCUGGCGGUAGGCCUAACACAUGCAAGUCGAACGGCAGCACAGUAAGAGCUUGCUCUUACGGGUGGCGAGUGGCGGACGGGUGAGGAAUACAUCGGAAUCUACUUUUUCGUGGGGGAUAACGUAGGGAAACUUACGCUAAUACCGCAUACGACCUACGGGUGAAAGCAGGGGAUCUUCGGACCUUGCGCGAUUGAAUGAGCCGAUGUCGGAUUAGCUAGUUGGCGGGGUAAAGGCCCACCAAGGCGACGAUCCGUAGCUGGUCUGAGAGGAUGAUCAGCCACACUGGAACUGAGACACGGUCCAGACUCCUACGGGAGGCAGCAGUGGGGAAUAUUAGACAAUGGGCGCAAGCCUGAUCCAGCCAUACCGCGUGGGUGAAGAAGGCCUUCGGGUUGUAAAGCCCUUUUGUUGGGAAAGAAGAGCAGCAGGUUAAUACCCCGCUGUUCUGACGGUACCCAAAGAAUAAGCACCGGCUAACUUCGUG